GCUGACGUCGCCGGAAGCCGCUGUUGGAACCUCUGCAAGUUUGUCCUAGCUCAGCUUUGCUUCUGCCUGUUCUGUCCUUGCCUGUCGGGGGUCACCGGAGCUGCUGAUGCUCCAUCCUCUUAUUUCCUUUGGGCUGUUGUUGAGGUUGCUGCAGUGAGAAAUCGAAGUUGUUGCUACUACCUCGGUCCAAAUUUCGUGCUCUUUCAUUCCGUUCUACUUCAACCUUCCUUGGCACUCUGGUUUGGUUUCUUCGGUCCCUUGGGACCAAUUUG